rnacentral:rRNA from 1 species
GUGUCAGCAGCCGCGGUAAGACGAACCGUGCGAACGUUGUUCGGAUUCACUGGGCUUAAAGGGCGCGUAGGCGGCUUGCCAAGUCAGGGGUGAAAUCUUCCAGCUCAACUGGAAAAGUGCCUUUGAUACUGGCAGGCUUGAGGGAGGUAGGGGCACGCGGAACUUCCAGUGGAGCGGUGAAAUGCGUUGAUAUUGGAAGGAACGCCGGUGGCGAAAGCGGCGUGCUGGCCCUCUUCUGACGCUGAGGCGCGAAAGCUAGGGGAGCGAACGGGAUUAGAUACCCCGGUAGUCCUAGCCCUAAACGAUGGGUACUAGGUAGUGGACUUAACAUGGGUUCACUGCCGAAGCAAAAGUGUUAAGUACCCCGCCUGGGGAGUAUGGUCGCAAGGCUGAAACUCAAAGGAAUUGACGGGGGCUCACACAAGCGGUGGAGCAUGUGGCUUAAUUCGAGGCUACGCGAAGAACCUUAUCCUGGGCUUGACACAUGCGAAAGCGCUAGGAAGUAGCUGCCCGAAAGGGUUCGCGAACGGUAUCCAAUCCGGAACCUAGCACAGGUGCUGCAUGGCUGUCGUCAGCUCGUGUCGUGAGAUGUUGGGUUAAGUCCCGUAACGAGCGAAACCCUUGUCCCUAGUUGCCAGCGGGUCAUGCCGGGGACUCUAGGGAGACUGCCGGUGUUAAACCGGAGGAAGGUGGGGAUGACGUCAAGUCCUCAUGGCCUUUAUGUCCAGGGCUGCACACGUGCUACAAUGGCGUGAACAAAGGGACGCAAACUCGCAAGAGGGAGCAAAUCCCAAAAAACACGCCCCAGUUCAGAUCGUAGGCUGCAACUCGCCUGCGUGAAGGUGGAAUCGCUAGUAAUCGCAGGUCAGCAUACUGCGGUGAAUGUGUUCCUGAGCCUUGCACACACCGCCCGUC